rnacentral:tRNA from 1 species
AAAUCUUAGUAAUAAUUUAAACUACUUCAUUAAAUUUGCAAUUUAAUAUUUUUUUAAUAAAAUAUAAGAUU